rnacentral:misc_RNA from 1 species
GGAAGUAAAAGUGUAACAAGGUUUCCGUAGGUGAACCUGCGGAAGGAUCAUUAUUGGAUUUUGAAACUUCAGGCUGCUGCUGGCUCUCCUCGGAGGGCAUGUGCACGCUUGUUGUCCAUUAUUUCUCCCACUGUGCACAAAUUGUAGACCUUUCAGUAGGCCUAUGUUGUUUUUCACAAUCUCUGAAUGUAAUAGAAUGGUUUUGAAUCUUGGGAAAUACAAUACAACUUUCAGCAACGGAUCUCUUGGCUCUC